rnacentral:rRNA from 1 species
GACGAACCGUGCGAACGUUGUUCGGAAUCACUGGGCUUAAAGGGCGCGUAGGCGGGCACGCAAGUCAGGGGUGAAAUCCCCCGGCUCAACCGGGGAACGGCUUUUGAUACUGCGUGUCUCGAGGGGGUAGGGGCAUGCGGAACUUCCGGUGGAGCGGUGAAAUGCGUAGAUAUCGGAAGGAACGCCGGUGGCGAAGGCGCUGCUCUGGGCCGGUACUGACGCUGAGGUGCGAAAGCAUGGGGAGCGAACAGG